GUAACUCAAGUGUAACUCGUGUAUCUAUCCCAUGCGCGGUGAUGUGUCUGUCAAGGGUUCCUGUCAAUUUGAGUAAUAUGCACAAAUUUCGAGGAUUGUUAGGAUAAGGCUGUGGCUCUGGUGAACGUCUUUUUAACCCAGCACAUAUUGACAGCUAGAUGUUCUAAAAUCUUCCAAAAUGGACGACGAGGAUCUCAACAGGCUGGCAGCCGAAGAGCUUCUCAAGGAGGCAAAGCGUGGUGAGGCUCGCGCCCAGGUGGGUGGCUCGAUGGCCUGGCUGCCUGGGACCGUACCCAACACUGACAAACGCUUCUUGGCGAACACCCUUCGUCACACCCUGGCGUCCAACAGGGUGCGGGAGCGGCACGUCGCCGGCCCGUACCGCCGACGGCCGGACGGUGAUAGUGGCAGGGGCGACCCGCCCCGGCACUCAUCAGCCUGGCAGGGGCACGGUGUGCGUGUGCAGGACCGCCACGAGAGGACAGAGUCGCCGGAGAGAGUGGGGAGAGAGGAGCGUAGUGGAAAGACCAGUGAGAGGACAGAGAAGAGUGGUGCGAGGUGUGGGACUGAGGUGAACCCGCGAGUGAAGCCUGCGGAGAGGCGGAGCAAGGCGAGAACUAAAAACGAGAAAGGAGUGGGCGAUGACGCGGCACUAAAUCGUUCAAGUAAAAAUGCCAAGUUGGCGUCGCGAUAGUCAGUUGAAAGCGUUCCAGACGGCAGCGAAGUCGGUGUGAUGGUUUCUUGUGUGUCCGAUCUCAACUAGGUAUACAUCUGUACAUCUGGCUCUGUAAAUUGCGCAUUGAAGCCGUAAAACUGAGAGUAGGCACCGGAAGACUUAUGAUUGGUAGAAAUGUAUGCGAAUUUCUGCACAUCCUGCAAUCGAUUUUCAAAUGGUGCUUUCAUUACUCGGCUCGCUCGGGCGUUGCGAAGUUGAGAGGGAAAUGGUAUUCCCCAUUUCCCAAGGUUGAUCAUGCUUGGUACCAAGAUACGGUAGGUACGCAUUUCUUCGUUCGCUGAACUACAAUUUUUAGCCGCUAGUUUAUUGUGCGCUGUGUGAUUUUUCCGGGACGACUGUUCCCGGAGACGAUUUUUUUCAGCUCGCUGUUUCCUUCUGGGCACCACACGCUGUCCCCGUCCAAUAUUACCGGAGCAGCGCCUGGAAUGGGGUGACGUUUGUCCGUGACAGAAUAAAUAGACUGCCUCGUGAUCGCACACACCACG